CUUGACCACUGCAUGCCUCCCUGGUGAAGUGUUGAGAGUGAAUUUAAGCCAUGACUAUCCAGGCUUGGGUCUGGAUUCCCGAGUGAACAGUUUGGGCACAGCUGUUCAUCACCUCUUUCAGGUGGGUCAAUAAAUAGGUACCCGGGGAAGGUAAACUGGUAACCAAGGUGCUGCACUUGCCGUGUGUACCCAGGGUAAUGAGUUCUCUCUCAUCACAGGCUCAAAAGCUAAUGAGAGGUGAGCAAUGAUGCCGAGUGGUCAGCGUGUGGGCAUGGUAAGCCCGUGGUUCGAGUCCCACAAAAACACGCUGAUUUUUCAAGCCAUCGCCGAGUGGCAGAAGAUUACCCACAUGCUGCCCAGAUCCGCAGUCAACCCUAACUUCAGCGAGUUCGUUCAAGUGGAGCACUGGGGGGCAGCAUGGGCCAAGCAGUCAUACAUCAUGGCAGCCACUAUAAAUAGAAUUCGCCUGUGCCACUAUUGGGAUGAGACUGUCCAAGAUGCUUCUCAAAAGAGCCCUCCAGAACUACAGGCAGCACCUAAAAAAAAUUAAAAAAUUAAAAAAAAAAUAAAUAAAUAAAAAAAUAAAUUCUCAUCCCUUACAAUACUUUAUCAUUCACAACUCUCCCUGAAGCACCUGUUAUCUGUCUGUUUUUCUCUGCUUUUGCUCUCGUGAUGGAGGGUGCCAUGUGAAGCUCUCCAGAGAUAACAGUGGUGACAGCAUCAUGUUCUUCAGUGAUGUUGGGCAGUGAUGGAGGGUGCCAUGUGAAGCUCUCCAGAGAUAACAGUGGUGACAGCAUCAUGUUCUUCAGUGAUGUUGGGCAGUGAUGGAGGGUGCCAUGUGAAGCUCUCCAGAGAUAACAGUGGUGACAGCAUCAUGUUCUUCAGUGAUGGCGGGCAGUGAUGGAGGGUGCCAUGUGAAGCUCUCCACAGAUAACAGUGGUGACAGCACCAUGUUCUUCAGUGAUGGCGGGCAGUGAUGGAGGGUGCCAUGUGAAGCUCUCCAGAGAUAACAGUGGUGACAGCACCAUGUUCUUCAGUGAUGUUGGGCAGUGAUGGAGGGUGCCAUGUGAAGCUCUCCACAGAUAACAGUGGUGACAGCACCAUGUUCUUCAGUGAUGGCGGGCAGUGAUGGAGGGUGCCAUGUGAAGCUCUCCACAGAUAACAGUGGUGACAGCACCAUGUUCUUCAGUGAUGGCGGGCAGUGAUGGAGGGUGCCAUGUGAAGCUCUCCACAGAUAACAGUGGUGACAGCACCAUGUUCUUCAGUGAUGUUGGGCAGUGAUGGAGGGUGCCAUGUGAAGCUCUCCACAGAUAACAGUGGUGACAGCACCAUGUUCUUCAGUGAUGUUGGGCAGUGAUGGAGGGUGCCAUGUGAAGCUCUCCACAGAUAACAGUGGUGACAGCACCAUGUUCUUCAGUGAUGGCGGGCAGUGAUGGAGGGUGCCAUGUGAAGCUCUCCACAGAUAACAUGGUGACAGCACCAUGUUCUUCAGUGAUGGCGGGGGCCCUCACCAGUCUUCUUCAUUAAGCUUCUGUCUUCCUGCUUCAGGCUGCAAUCAAACAGUUGUUUAGUACCACAUUAAUAUGUUUGGGGCAGACUGAAUUAUAGCUAACAUAGUAUACUGUUUGAUUGAAUAUUUGAAAGAAUCAAACCUAAACUAACAUACUGUUUGAUUGAAUAUUUGAAAGAAUCAAACCUAAACUAACAUACUGUUUGAUUGAAUAUUUGAAAGAAUCAAACCUAAACUAACAUACUGUUUGAUUGAAUAUUUGAAAGAAUCAAACCUAAACUAACAUACUGUUUGAUUGAAUAUUUGAAAGAAUCAAACCUAAACUAACAUACUGUUUGAUUGAAUAUUUGAAAGAAUCAAACCUAAACUAACAUACUGUUUGAUUGAAUAUUUGAAAGAAUCAAACCUAAACUAACCAGGUUACCCCAUUCCCAAGCUUGCAGGGUAGGCACUGACAAAGGUAGAUUGAAAAACAGAACUGUAUUACUAACCUAAAUGAAUGUAUUAUUCUAGUGUUUGUGUUAGAGAUAGGUUUACUGUUCAACAGGAUGAGGUAGGGUUGUUAAGUUUGAAAAUGGCUCUUAAUGAAGCAGUAAUAGGUUACUAUUUUGUCUGUGAUUGUUAAAUUAUUAGCAUGUGUAAAAGCUACAACUGCUAUAUGCUACAUAGUAAUAUUCUAUGUAUCUAUAUAUCUUUCCCUUUGCCCUAAUUAAAGGUUAAAUUCAAUAUCAAUGAAAAAUUUCUGCUCUUAUAAAUUGUCAAGAUGAGUUGUAGCCUAUUCCUAACUGAUCAGAAUUAGUUUGCAUCCUGAGAACACGUGAUUGAUGUAGUAUUUGUUUCAAUAGGCUAGAAAUUUAUCAUUUAAAUCAACACAAGGUUAUGUUAGCCAGUCAUUCAUUACAUAUGUUUUUCUUUAGUUUGAGACAAGGUUAUGUUAGCCAGUCAUUCAUUACAUAUGUUUUUCUUUAGUUUGAGACAAGGUUAUGUUAGCCAGUCAUUCAUUACAUAUGUUUUUCUUUAGUUUGAGACAAGGUUAUGUUAGCCAGUCAUUCAUUACAUAUGUUUUUCUUUAGUUUGACACAAGGUUAUGUUAGCCAGUCAUUCAUUACAAAUGUUUUUCUUUAGUUUGAGACAAGGUUAUGUUAGCCAGUCAUUCAUUACAUGUGUUUUUCUUUAGUUUGAGACAAGGUUAUGUUAGCCAGUCAUUCAUUACAUAUGUUUUUCUUUAGUUUGACACAAGGUUAUGUUAGCCAGUCAUUCAUUACAUAUGUUUUUCUUUAGUUUGACACAAGGUUAUGUUAGCCAGUCAUUCAUUACACAUGUUUUUCUUUAGUUUGAGACAAGGUUAUGUUAGCCAGUCAUUCAUUACACAUGUUUUUCUUUAGUUUGAGACAAGGUUAUGUUAGCCAGUCAUUCAUUACACAUGUUUUUCUUUAGUUUGAGACAAGGUUAUGUUAGCCAGUCAUUCAUUACAUUCAUUUGAGUAGCUUCCAUAACCUUCUCUCGAUGGACAGAAGUGACAAAACAAAUGACUAACAUAACCUGGUCUCAGUGUUACAAAGGGCAGAGCAAGUUAAUAGUGACAGAAAUAAACAUUACAAAAGAUUUAGCAACCGAAGGGACAGGAGUACGCAUUGCUACAGAUGACACAGUAACCCAAGUGUGAUAGGGAUUGUAAUGUUACGGAAGAUAUGGUGACGUAAGUGACGAGGACCGAGCGUUACAGACAGCGUAGUGACUUAAGCAUGACAGGGAUUGUAGAAAGAUUGUGGAAUGAUUGUAUAAAAAAAGAUACAGUAACUCAGCAGUGACAUAGAUACGUAAUGUUACUGAGGACAUGGUAACUUACGUAUGAUGAGGAUCGUAAUGUUGCAGAUGAACUAACAAUAAUUUAAGUGUCAGAAUUCAUCAUGUUACAAAUGGCAUAUUAAUUUUAGUGGCAUGGAUCAGAAUGUUACAAAAUAUAUACGUAUAUUAAGUGGCACGGAUCGUAAUGUUACAAGAUACAUGGUACCCACACCGAUAUGUAUACGUAAUGUUAAAUGACAUAGUAACUUAAAUUAAAUGGAUAUAUUACGCUAAAAAAGCUUAGUAGCCAAAGUGACAUGUAUACGUAAUGUUACAAAUGGCAUAGUAACAAAUAAAAUGGAUACGUAAUGUUAACAAGACUUACUAACCGCAGUGAAUGAAUGCGUAAUGUUAACAAAACUUAGUAACCAAAGUGACAUAUACAUAAUGUUAGGGAUGACACAGUAACUUAAAUAUAAUGGUUAGUAAUGUUAACAAGACUUAGUAACCAAAGUGACAUAUACGUAAUGUUAGGGAUGACACAGUAACUUAAAUAUAAUGGCUAGUAAUGUUCAUAGCUGGGUGUUAUCGCGAUAAGUUAUCGUGAUACUUUAUCGCUGAUAACAAAAUCGGGUUAUCAGCCAUCCGUUACUUAAUUAUUUAAAUAUAUAUCAGUAUCUUCGUUACUUUUGUAGCCAAACUUGCGAUAAUCGCUACUUUUUUCCGCCUCAGGAAAAAAAAAGUCUCCUCCCUACUGCGCAUGCGUGGCCCGGGUGCCCGGUGUUGUAUGAAAAAACUUCGGGGUAUGAAAUAUCUUCGGUGAAGAGAUUUCAUACUUAGAUCAUUAACAUUGAAACACUAGGUUAUUUUUUAUGUUAGACUAAAAAAUCAGAGAGAAAAAUCAUUUAACUUUGCCCCAAAAAUGAUUAUUCACUGCCUCAAAUUUGAUGUUCCAUAUUCGUUUGUGAGCAUGCCAUGGUAUUAUUAAAGGCACCCGGUGUUGUGUUAUUUGAUGUCCCAUCGUCAAAAGC